rnacentral:rRNA from 1 species
AGCUAACGCAUUAAGCACUCCGCCUGGGGAGUACGACCGCAAGGUUGAAACUCAAAGGAAUUGACGGGGGCCCGCACAAGCGGUGGAGCAUGUGGUUUAAUUCGAAGCAACGCGAAGAACCUUACCAGGUCUUGACAUCCUUUGACCACUCUGGAGACAGAGCUUUCCCUUCGGGGACAAAGUGACAGGUGGUGCAUGGUUGUCGUCAGCUCGUGUCGUGAGAUGUUGGGUUAAGUCCCGCAACGAGCGCAACCCUUGAUUUUAGUUGCCAGCAUUUAGUUGGGCACUCUAAAGUGACUGCCGGUGCAAGCCGGAGGAAGGUGGGGAUGACGUCAAAUCAUCAUGCCCCUUAUGACCUGGGCUACACACGUGCUACAAUGGAUAGUACAAAGGGUCGCGAAGCCGCGAGGUGGAGCUAAUCCCAUAAAACUAUUCUCAGUUCGGAUUGUAGGCUGCAACUCGCCUACAUGAAGCCGGAAUCGCUAGUAAUCGUGGAUCAGCAUGCCACGGUGAAUACGUUCCCGGGCCUUGUACACACCGCCCGUCACACCACGAGAGUUUGUAACACCCGAAGUCGGUAGGGUAACCUUUAUGGAGCCAGCCGCCGAAGGUGGGACAGAUAAUUGGGGUGAAGUCGUAACAAGGUAGCCGUAUCGGAAGGUGCGGCUGGAUCACCUCCUUU